AUGGGCGCAGCCUGAUGCAGCGACGCCGCGUGAGGGAUGGAGGCCUUCGGGUUGUAAACCUCUUUCGCCAGUGAAGCAGGCCUGUCCCUUUUGUGGGUGGGUUGACGGUAGCUGGAUAAGAAGCGCCGGCUAACUACGUGCCAGCAGCCGCGGUAAUACGUAGGGCGCGAGCGUUGUCCGGAAUUAUUGGGCGUAAAGAGCUCGUAGGCGGCUGGUCGCGUCUGUCGUGAAAUCCUCUGGCUUAACUGGGGGCUUGCGGUGGGUACGGGCCGGCUUGAGUGCGGUAGGGGAGACUGGAACUCCUGGUGUAGCGGUGGAAUGCGCAGAUAUCAGGAAGAACACCGGUGGCGAAGGCGGGUCUCUGGGCCGUUACUGACGCUGAGGAGCGAAAGCGUGGGGAGCGAACAGGAUUAGAUACCCUGGUAGUCCACGCCGUAAACGUUGGGCACUAGGUGUGGGGGGCCUUUUCCGGGUCUUCCGCGCCGUAGCUAACGCAUUAAGUGCCCCGCCUGGGGAGUACGGCCGCAAGGCUAAAACUCAAAGGAAUUGACGGGGGCCCGCACAAGCGGCGGAGCAUGCGGAUUAAUUCGAUGCAACGCGAAGAACCUUACCAAGGCUUGACAUGUGCCGGUCGGCUCCGGGGACGGGG
rnacentral:rRNA from 1 species